CCCCAUUAUUUUUUGUUUAUCUUUUCACUGCAUUCAUGGCGUUGCCCGUGAUCAAUCCUGCUAUAUGAAUUGAUCCCGCUUCUCAUUGGUGUUGUUUUACAAAUUGGUCUAUUUUUCCAGUUAUUCUUAUCAGACUUCCUUCUUUAGCAUGAAAUGUGUAGAUAUUCUGAUCAUCCUAUCGGCCACGCCACUUUCUGGACUGUAAUUUUCUCUGAGAUUCUAAAGCCUGUCUUUCUAACAGGCUUAGAUUCCCUGGUCAUCAUCUCCGCAUUCGAGGAAUUGUUCUUGUACUCCAUCUUUGACCUCUGUGCUUCCCAUCAUCAUUCAGUAUUCCGCCUGGGGGCUCCGGCCGAUAGAUUAAAAUUCCAAGGUAUUGCCUGGGGCCCGCACAAGCCUUGGAGCAUGUGGCUUAAUUCGAAGCAAUGCUAAGAACCUUACCUAUACUUGUCAUCUCCUGAAUUACUCUUAAUCUGGGAAUCCCUUCUGGGAUGGAAGACAUGUGGUGCAUGGUUGACGUCAGCUCGUGUCGUGAGAUGUUGGGUUAAGUCCCGCAACGAGUGCAUUCCUUAUUGUCUGUUGCUACCAUUUAGUUGAGCACUCUAACGAGACUGCCCGGGUUAACCGGGAGUAAGGUGGGGAUGACGUCCAAUUAUCAUGCCCCUUAUGUUUAGUGCUACACACGUGCUACAAUGGUUUGUACAAAGAUAUGCUUAACCGCGAGGUGGAGACAAACUUCAAAACCAGUCCCAAUUCGGAUUGCAGGCUGAUACUCGCCUUCCUUGAAGCUGGAGUUGCUAGGAUUCGCGAAUCACAAAGUCUCGAGAAUAUGUCCCCGGUCUUGUACACACCGCCCCGUUACUCCCUUGAGAUUUGGCAAUUCACAAAGUUCGCGAUUUAACGCGUAAGUUGGCGUAGCGGACAUAAUGGUAGUGUCCAGCCAUUUGGUGUGGAUCU
rnacentral:rRNA from 1 species